CUCCCUCUCUCACCUCUGCAGUCGGCUUCCUUGUCUGGCUUCAUGUAACAGUUUCUGGCAACUGCAGAGUAAUAUCUACCCAAGUGUUUCCACACUGAGGAGGCAUGGGACGCUUGGAGCUGGAGGGAUGAAACAAGUUCAAAUCCACAAGAAAUGGAAACGUUUCAGACACCAAGGAGAUCAAGAAUAAACACCAAGAUUGGAGUGUCAGAAAUGGGAGCAAUGACAGGGGCUUGGAGCUUGAUUUUCCACACCGUUGGCAUGAGGAAAUAUGAAGAGGCUACUCUAAACAGGCUUUUGAAUAGUUGAUGCUGGAUCUCGAGAUGAAACUUUUGGACACCCCACUUCUUCCUGCUCAGCGUCAACCCGUCCCUCCAGGUAGCAAUGCAGUAAGAGC